UUUCAGAAUAUGCACCAGGGCUAUCCCAAAGAAACACUGGUGCGUUUCCUUAAGGCUAGAGAGUGGAAUGUAGCAAAGGCUCAUAAAAUGAUUGUAGAAUGUUUGAAUUGGAGGAUUCAAAAUGAAAUUGAUAGUGUGCUGGAGAGGCCUAUAGCCCCAGUAGAUUUAUACAGAUCAAUAUGUGAUUCACAACUUAUUGGCCUGUCAGGAUACACAAAGGAGGGUCUCCCAAUUUUUGGCAUUGGUGUUGGGCAUAGCACAUAUGACAAAGCUUCGGUAAUUACUCUGAUGCUUGCUAUUUGUUUGGUAGGCUACAACUACAGCCAAAAUCAUAAAAGUGUCUGGUUUGAAGCUAUCAGCACUAAGCCAAAUAAAGGAUUCCGGCUCUCAUCAAGUGACUCCCCCUCACAUUGACUUUGCGGAUGUCUCUAUUCUAGUGGUAGAGCUACGAACAACAAUCCGAUGUCCUGAUCGAGAGCGAUGGAGUUAAUGUUUGAACUUGU